rnacentral:piRNA from 1 species
UUCAUGCUGAAUUCUAAUAAA